UGGGGAAUAUUGCACAAUGGGGGAAACCCUGAUGCAGCGACGCCGCGUGAGCGAUGAAGGCCUUCGGGUCGUAAAGCUCUGUCCUAAGGGAAGAAUUUUGACGGUACCUUAGGAGGAAGCCCCGGCUAACUACGUGCCAGCAGCCGCGGUAAUACGUAGGGGGCGAGCGUUGUCCGGAUUUACUGGGCGUAAAGGGUGCGUAGGCGGUCUUGUAAGUCAGAAGUUAAAGCCCUCGGCUCAACCGAGGUAAGCUUUUGAAACUACAAGACUUGAGUGCAGGAGAGGAGAGCGGAAUUCCUAGUGUAGCGGUGAAAUGCGUAGAUAUUAGGAAGAACACCAGUGGCGAAGGCGGCUCUCUGGACUGCUACUGACGCUGAGGCACGAAAGUGUGGGGAGCGAACA
rnacentral:rRNA from 1 species